UACGGAGGACCCAAGCGUUAUUCGGAUUUAUUGGGUUUAAAGGGUGCGUAGGCGGAUUGGUAAGUCAGAGGUGAAAUCCCACAGCUUAACUGUGGAACUGCCUUUGAUACUGCCAACCUUGAGUGCAGAUGAUGUGGGCGGAAUAUGACAUGUAGCGGUGAAAUGCUUAGAUAUGUCAUAGAACACCGAUUGCGAAGGCAGCUCACAAAACUGUAACUGACGCUGAGGCACGAAAGCAUGGGGAUCGAACAGG
rnacentral:rRNA from 1 species